AUAUUAUUAUGUGCAUGUUUUUCCUAUCAUGAAAUUUAUGAAAUUUAAUAUUUUAAACCCCGAUUUCAAACAUCAAAAAAAACACUUUUUUUAGAUUAAGAGUGGAACGAAGAGGUUUAUGAUUUUACAAAAAAGUUAUCUUUUUUUUUUUAUCUGUGCGCAACUUUUCUACCAGAAGACUUGCUCAGAUUUUUAAAUGUAGUACCUUU